rnacentral:rRNA from 1 species
CAGUCGCCACGGGAAUACGAAGGGUGCAAGCGUUAAUCGGAAUUACUGGGUUUAAAGGGUGCGUAGGCGGGCAGGUAAGUCAGUGGUGAAAUCUUCGAGCUUAACUCGGAAACUGCCGUUGAUACUAUCUGUCUUGAAUAACGUUGAGGUGAGCGGAAUAUGUCAUGUAGCGGUGAAAUGCUUAGAUAUGACAUAGAACACCGAUUGCGAAGGCAGCUCACUAAACGCUCAUUGACGCUGAGGCACGAAAGCGUGGGGAUCAAACAGGAUUAGAUACCCCCGUAGUCCCUGUCUCUUAUAU